GAUCCUGACUCAGGAUGAACGCUGGCGGCGUGCCUAACACAUGCAAGUCGAACGAAGCAAUUAGAAAGAAGUUUUCGGAUGGAUUUCUGGUUGACUGAGUGGCGGACGGGUGAGUAACGCGUGGAUAACCUGCCUCACACUGGGGGAUAACAGUUAGAAAUGGCUGCUAAUACCGCAUAAGCGCACAGUACCGCAUGGUACGGUGUGAAAAACUCCGGUGGUGUGAGAUGGAUCCGCGU
rnacentral:rRNA from 1 species